AGGACGAACGCUGGCGGCGUGCCUAACACAUGCAAGUCGAACGAGGUCCAUCCGGUAGCAAUACUGGUGAAGAUCAAGUGGCGAACGGGUGAGUAGCACGUGAGCAACCUGCCCCGAAGACCGGGACAACACCGGGAAACCGGUGCUAAUACCGGAUAUCCCCACCGAGUCGCAUGGCUUGGUGAGGAAACGUUUUUCGCUUCGGGAGGGGCUCGCGGCCUAUCAGCUUGUUGGUGAGGUAACGGCUCACCAAGGCUUCGACGGGUAGCUGGUCUGAGAGGACGAUCAGCCACACUGGGACUGAGACACGGCCCAGACUCCUACGGGAGGCAGCAGUGGGGAAUCUUGCACAAUGGGCGAAAGCCUGAUGCAGCAACGCCGCGUGAGGGACGAAGGCUUUCUGAGUUGUAAACCUCUUUCAGCAGGGACGAGUUGUGACAGUACCUGCAGAAGAACGCCCCGGCCAACUACGUGCCAGCACGCCGCGGUAA
rnacentral:rRNA from 1 species